GUCCUAGCCGUAAACGGUGCAUAUUUGCUGUAAAAGGAUUCGACCCCUUUUGUGGCGUAGCCAACGCGUUAAAUAUGCCGCCUGGGAAGUACGGUCGCAAGAUUAAAACUCAAAGAAAUUGACGGGGCCUGCACAAGCGGUGGAGUAUGUGGCUUAAUUCGAUGCAACGCGAAGAACCUUACCUGGCCUUGACAUGUACGUAGUAGAAGGAUGAAAGUCUGACGAGGUAGCAAUACCAGCGUACACAGGUGCUGCAUGGCUGUCGU
rnacentral:rRNA from 1 species